UAUGGUGGUUUAGCCGGGGGUGUUCACCUCUUCCCAUUCCGAACAGAGAAGUUAAGUCCCCCAUGGCCGAUGGUACUCGCGUUAAGCCGGGAGAGUAGGUAGCUGCCAUAU
rnacentral:rRNA from 1 species